GGGCCCGUGGCGCAGCUGGUAGCGCACCUGCAUGGCAUGCAGGGGGUCAGGGGUUCAAAUCCCCUCGGGUCCA
rnacentral:tRNA from 2 species